GACAGAGGGUGCGAACGUUGUUCGGAAUUACUGGGCGUAAAGGGUGCGUAGGCGGCGCGGUAAGUCGGGUGUGAAAUCUCGGAGCUUAACUCCGAAACUGCAUUCGAUACUGCCGUGCUUGAGGACUGGAGAGGAGACUGGAAUUUACGGUGUAGCGGUGAAAUGCGUAGAUAUCAUAAGGAAGGCCAGUGGCGAAGGCGGGUCUCUGGACAGUUCCUGACGCUGAGGCACGAAGGCCAGGGGAGCAAACGGG
rnacentral:rRNA from 1 species